CCCUGUGUUUUUUCUCAUACCCAUAUACUUACACACAUACUUAAUUUCACAAUCUAAUUCAUACACACCAAUUCCUCUCUUACAAUUCAAUCAGCGGAAUAAGGUAACAGAAGCGGCAAAUUAGGGUUUUUUCGAAUUCAACGGUUGAGGGUUGGAGUAACAACGCUAGAUAGCGAGGUUAUCUUACCAGCGUAUUUAUCAAAUACGCUGGGCAACUUGAACUCGCGUUCAAGAUUUGUUUGGCUAGGGUUUGACUGCUUUGUUUGGCCCGAGAAGCAGCAUAAUUACUUGCUGGAAGUUUAGAGUUUGUGCGGCUAGAGUUCAGCGGAUUUGUUGGGAUUUCUAGGGUUUGGUGCGGAUUUGUCGGAAACUGGUUUGGAGCGGCGGUGACUCACUGUUGUUUUGACCCGAUUGAAUGAAGAUCUGAGUUGAGGGGUUUGGUUGAUUGCGGCGGCUGGUUGCAACGAAGACGAAAAACUGAUUUGCCGAUUAUCAACGGGCUGCGGCAGUAUCACAACGGUAAGUAUCCCAGCUGAUGUUAUGAUGAGCAAACGGUUUCAAGAAUCAGAAACACUGCUCU
rnacentral:lncRNA from 1 species